UCAGAAAAUACAAAAUUUCUAAGUUCAUAAAAAUAUUAUUUGGGUUUAGCCCCUUACAUACCAUGGGUUUUGGGUAAACUUUAUGGAAUAUUUAGCUAUGACACAUUCUAAUGCACUUUAGGUUUGUACUAAAACAUGGUGGCAAAACCCAUAGACUUGUGUAAUAGCAAUAAAAUUAUUUUUCUCUGAAAGAUUAGUUAUUGAGUGAAGUAUCUUGGAGGAUUAUGAUAUGAAAUCCUUAUAUAGUCUCCCACGAGAGAUAUAGAUAUCAUCACAAAAUUACAAGAUAAAAAAAAAAAAAAA